GAGGGGCGGGGCGGGCUUCCGUGGUCUCGCGCGCUGUCCUUGCUCAGCGCUCAGCUCCUUCCUACCGGCCGGGGGUCCUGUGCUCCGGCGUCUCCGCUGACUCUGCGCAGCCUGUGCGCCCCGCGAGCCCCGGAGGUCCCUCGGGAGGACGGCGGGUCACCCCGGAGGAAGCAAGAGACAGGGUCUCGCUAAGUGACUGAGCCUGCUUUGAACUCAAUGAUCCUCCUGCCUCAGCCUCCAGAACUGCUGGGAUUACAGAUGGAGGUUGCAAACCAGAGGAUAUCAUCUAAGGAUUGACCAGAACCAGCUCAGAAUCCAUCUCCAGGACUGUGUCUCCUCUGCUGUGUGAGGCCCCCGUGGCUCUGGCUGAGACUGUCUCCCUGUGAGCUGCAGGUGCUUUGAGAUCCCCAGGAAGGAUGUCUGGACUCCCCAGAAGGCAGGAAAUGGGUGCAGAGAAUCUGUCCCGAGUCAGCCCCUUCUUGAGGCGAGCCUGAGAUUUGGGAUACAGUCUCUCAGAGGAGCAGCUGGAGGCCCUGGUGCUGAGGAACCUCCUGGAAGAGGCCUCAUCUAGACAGCGGCCUCCUUGGGACAUGGUCUCCCCCAGGCCCUGUGUCCCUUCCUUGGAGACAGGUGGGCAGCAGCCUGUGGAUGCUGGUGCGGAGGGCCAGGUCAGCAGAGAUUCCUGCCCCUCGCAUCUCUCACAGACGUCAAGGAGCAAGAACUCUCCAGAGCGUGAGAGCCAUGUCCCGUGUGCUGCAGAAUUCUGUGGCCUUGAAGGAUGUGGCUGUGAACUUCACCCAGGAGGAGUGGGCUUUGCUGGAUCCUUCCCAGAAGAAUCUCCACAGAGACGUGAUGCAGGAAGUCCUAGAAACCUGGCCUCUAUAGGCAUAUCAUAUGUCACUCUGCAGACAAGCCACAUGAGAUCCAGGAGUGUGGAGGGAAGCCAUGUGAACUUGAACAGAGCAGAACAUCUUCAAUAUCUCAUGUGAGUGUUCAAAGACAAGCGUCAGUGCACAGUGUAAAUGGACCUUAUGAAUGUGUGACAUGUGGAAAAGGGUUCAGUUGUUCCUCGUGUUUUCAAAAAUAUCCCCGAUCUCAUACUGGAGAGACAGCUCUCAGAGGUAAACAACAUGGCAAAGCCGUUGAUGUAUCCUGUCAUAGUAGAGAGAGGCCCUGUGAAUGUGAACAAUGUGGGAAAUCCUUCACUAGUUCCUCUUACCCUCAGGUACAUAAACGAACUCAUACUGGAGAGAAGCCUUAUAGGUGUAAACAGUGUGGGAAAGGCUUCACUCGUGACUCUUGCUUUUGCAGACAUGAAUGAUUCCAAUUAGAGAAAAGCCUUAUAGAUGUAAACAGUGUUGUAAAGCGUUUGCUACAUCCAGUCAUCUUCAUAGACAUGAGCAAACUCAUACAGGAGAGAAGCCCUGUGAAUGUAAACAGUGUGGGAAAACCUUCACUAGGUCCUCUUACCUUCAGGUACAUAAGCAAAUUCAUACUGGAGAGAAGCCCUAUGAAUGUGAAAAAUGUGGAAAAGCCUUCACUGAUUUCUCUUAUUUCCAAAAACAUAAAAUCAUUCAUACUGGAAAGAAGCCAUAUGUAUGUAAAACGUGGAAAAGCCUUCUCUACUCCCUCUUACCUUCAAAGACAUAGACGAACUCAUACUGGAGAGAAGCCCUAUGAAUGUAAGCAGUGUGGGAAAGCCUUUACUACUGACUCUUCCUGUCGAAUACAUGAGCGAACUCAUACUGGAGAAAAACCCUAUGAAUGUAAAACAUGUGGAAGAACCUUCACUACUGCUUUUUACCUUCAAAUACAUGAACGAACUCAUUCAGGAGAGGCCCUAUGAAUGUAAGCAGUGUGGGAAAGCCUUCACUUCUUCCUCUUACCUUCAAAUCCAUAAAUGAACUCAUGCUGGAGAGAAGCCCUAUAUAUGUAAACAAUGUGGAAAAACCUUCAUUACUUCAUCUUACCUUCUAAUACAUAAACGAACUCAUACUGGAGAGAAGCCCUAUGAAUGUAAGCAAUGUGGGAAAGCCUUCACUACUUCCUCUCAAUUUCAAACACAUAAAGGAACUCAUAUGGGAGAGAAACCCUAUACAUGUAAACAAUGUGGCAAAGCCUUUGCGACAUUUAGUGAUUUUCACUCUCAUGAAUCUACUCAUCGUGGAGAAAAGCCCUAUGAAUGUAAAUAAUGGGGAAACCUUCACUGGGUCUGUUCACCUUUGCACACAUGGAAGAACUCACACUGGAGAGAAGCCCUAUGUUUGAGAACAAUGUGGGACAGACUAUACUACAUCCAGUCAACUUCAUUUUCAUGAAUGUGCUCAGUGCUCAGCAUUGGAAAGCCUUCUGUGAGACUCCAAAUCGUAGUCUUCACCAGGACUUCCCCUAGAGUAAGUUCACGGGAAAGCAGAAUGUGUGGACACGUCUUCCCAUGUCUCUUGUUCCAUCAUAGACACAUCGUAUCUCACUGCAGACAAGCCACAUGAGAUCCAGGAGUGUGGAGGGAAGCCAUGUGAACCUGAACAGAACAUCUUCAAUUUCUCAUGCAGGUGUUCAAAGACAAGUGUCAGUGCACACUGUAAGUGUACCUUAUGCAUGUUUGACAUGUGGAAGAAAGUUCGGUUAUUCCUUGUGUUUUCAAAAAUAUCAAGGAACUCACUGGCGACACAGCUUACAGAUGUAAACAAGGUGGGAAAAUCGUCGCUACAUCCAGUCAGCUUCAUUUACAUAAAUGGACACUUCAUGGAAAGAAGCCCUAUCACCAUGUACAGUGUGGGAAAUCCUUCACUCCUUCCUCUAAGUUUCAAAUACAUAACUUAUACUGGAGAGAAGCCUAGGCAUGUAAACGAUGUGGGGCAGCCUUUCCAACAUCCAGUCAUCUUCAUAGACAAGAGUGGACUCAUACUGGAAAAAGGCCUGUCACUGUGAGCACUGUGGAAAGCCUUCACUUCUGCUUACCUUCACAGACGUGAAGGGACUCAUUCUGGAGAGAAGCCUCCACUCGCUCCUCUUACCUUCAUAUACAUGGAUGGUUUCAUACUGGAGAGGAGCCGUAUAGAUGUAAACAUGUGGGAAAGCCUUGAUUUCAUCUAGUGAUUUUCACUCACAGGAAUGGACUCAUUCAGGAGAGAAGCCCUGUGAAUGUGCACAACGUGGGAGAACCUCACUAGUUCUGAUUACCGUCGUCAACAUGGAAGAACUCAUACUGGAGAGAAGCCCUGUGAAUGUGCACAACGUGGGAGAACCUCACUAGUUCUGAUUACCGUCGUCAACAUGGAAGAACCCAUACUGGAGAGAAGCCCUGUGAAGGUGCACAACGUGGGAGAACCUCACUAGUUCUGAUUACCGUCGUCAACAUGGAAGAACUCAUACUGGAGAGAAGCCCUGUGAAUGUGCACAACGUGGGAGAACCUCACUAGUUCUGAUUACCGUCGUCAACAUGGAAGAACUCAUACUGGAGAGAAGCCCUGUGAAUGUGCACAACGUGGGAGAACCUCACUAGUUCUGAUUACCGUCGUCAACAUGGAAGAACUCAUACUGGAGAGAAGCCCUGUGAAUGUGCACAACGUGGGAGAACCUCACUAGUUCUGAUUACCGUCGUCAACAUGGAAGAACUCAUACUGGAGAGAAGCCCUGUGAAUGUGCACAACGUGGGAGAACCUCACUAGUUCUGAUUACCGUCGUCAACAUGGAAGAACCCAUACUGGAGAGAAGCCCUGUGAA